rnacentral:tRNA from 1 species
AGGGGUGUAGCCCAGUUGGUAGAGCGUCGGUUCAGUGCUCCGCUAGUCGUCUGGUUUAGGACCAGAAGAGACCGCUGGAGUAGCCCCGAAGGUCGCUGGUUCGAGUCCAGCCACCCCUG